AACGCACGAGACCUGCGGACCUGCGGAAGGAUCAUUACCGAGUUUACAACUCCCAAACCCAAUGUGAACCAUACCAAACUGUUGCCUCGGCGGGGUCACGCCCCGGGUGCGUCGCAGCCCCGGAACCAGGCGCCCGCCGGAGGGACCAACCAAACUCUUUUCUGUAGUCCCCUCGCGGACGUUAUUUCUUACAGCUCUGAGCAAAAAUUCAAAAUGAAUCAAAACUUUCAACAACGGAUC
rnacentral:misc_RNA from 1 species